rnacentral:rRNA from 1 species
GACGAACGCUGGCGGCGUGCUUAACACAUGCAAGUCGAACGGAAAGGCCCCUUUGGGGGUACUCGAGUGGCGAACGGGUGAGUAACACGUGAGUAACCUGCCCUUGACUUCGGGAUAACUUCAGGAAACUGGGGCUAAUACCGGAUAGGAAUCCUUGCUGCAUGGUGGGGGUUGGAAAGCCUCGGCGGUUUUGGAUGGACUCGCGGCUUAUCAGCUUGUUGGUGGGGUAGUGGCUUACCAAGGCUUUGACGGGUAGCCGGCCUGAGAGGGCGACCGGCCACAUUGGGACUGAGAUACGGCCCAGACUCCUACGGGAGGCAGCAGUGGGGAAUAUUGCACAAUGGGCGGAAGCCUGAUGCAGCAACGCCGCGUGCGGGAUGACGGCCUUCGGGUUGUAAACCGCUUUCAGCAGGGGCGAAGCUUUUGUGACGGUACCUGCAGAAGAAGCACCGGCUAACUACGUG